AGAGAUUUGAAGCUUGAGAAGAACUUUGCUUACUGUCACUGCUUUGAAGCUGGAGAGGACUAUGCCAAAGGGAUGUGGGUGGCCUUGACCAAGGGCUAGCUGACAGUAGCCUUUGGUCAGUAGCAAAUCAGGAAACAAGAUGGGCAGAUUUACAGCUGCAAGUAGAUUUCUACCAACAAUCUAAGUGAGAUAGAGGCAGAUUCCUUUCCUAUGCCUUUACCUCAGAGCUAAGCUUGGCUGACACUUUACUUUCAGCUAGGUGGGACCCAAAGAAGAUCACCUCAAUAAGCCAUGCCAGACCUCACAUCUACAUAACUUGGUCUGGAACCAAAACUGCAAUAUCUACAAGGAUGGAAAAUAACCACAGAAGGAAAGCUGGAGAAGUACGAAGAAACGUUGAGUAAAGAAAGUGGUAAGCAUGUGGAUAAAUCUAAAUACACACAGUCUGUGUGAAAUAACAAAAAAUAUCAUAUUUGGAGAAAAAGAGAAGAUAAAAUAUGGGACAACAAUAAGUCAGAUGGGACAGAGGGUGAUUUGAUUUUUAAAAUUCUAAGGUCCAUAUGUUAUACAAAAGGAGAAUAGAGAUAAUGAUUAAUGUAGACCUUAAGGUAAAUAUAUCUGUUACAAUUUCAUUUUAAUUACUGAAAGGGUAAAGGGGAAAAUGAGAUUUAAAGAAACAAUGUAAAAGGUGCAGAAAAGGUGAUAAAAGUAAAAAGUAACAAAGCAAAGGAGGAACAUAUAAAACAAGAUAUAAGAUGGCAAUGAGCCCAAAUAUAACUUUAACCUGAAUAAAUAUAAAUGGGUUAAAUUUCUAGUUAAGGUCAAACUAAAUAAUAAAAAAAAUCCCAGAUUAUACUAUUGACAAGAAGCAUGCAUAAAAAUAAAACCAUGGGAAAACUGAGAGAUAAAAGAUAGAAAAUUAGGCUGCUUAAAUAUUAGCCAAAGAAAAGCUGGCCCAUCUAUUAAUAUUAGACAGCAAGUUCUUUGAGACAUAAAGAACUACAUAGAAUAGAAAAGAUCAUAAGACAAUGAUAAAGGACUCAAUUUAUAAAGGAAGGAGUGAAUUUACAGACUAAUCUAAACUUUGAUGUCUCUAAUAACUUGCCAUCAAAAUAUAUAAAGCAAAAUGAUAUUUAUAUAAGAACUCAACAAAUCUAUCAUUUUAAGGAAUAUGCAUUAUUCUCAAAUAUACACAUUAUUCUUCAAACAAAACCUGACCAUGUGGGGAGACCAUAAAUCAAAUAUUAACCAAUUCAAAGAAAUUAUUAUUCAGGUAUCUUUUUCUAACCACAAUACAGUAAGUUAAAAGUCAGGAAAAUAACAAUAAUGUUUUUAAAAGAAUGUAGAUUUAGAAAUAGAAAAGCAUACUCAAAAUACACUGGGAAGCAACAAAGUCUAAAAAUAGAUAAAUUCAACAGUUAACUUAAAACACUAGGGAAAGAUAAAUAAUAUAAACUAAAGCACAAGAAAGAAAAUUAUAAAAACCAGGAACAAAAAUUAAUGAAACAGCAACCAAAGAUACAACAGACUAACAAAUCCAAAGGCUAAUUCUUAUAUAUUUAAUAUGUGAUGUCUAAUCUAAUCUUAAUAUUAAACUCUUAAUCCUUUUUUACUUAACUAUAUCUAACAAUAUCUGUACUUUUUUCUAUUUUUAAAUUUACACAAAAGAUUUUGUGACAGACAUCAUUUUUACCAGCUUUUUAGAGUCAACAUUAUUUUUGAGACCUUUUAGAUUAAUGUACAUAGAAGGCUAGUUUAUUCCUUUUAACUAUUGCACAGUAGUUUAUAGACUAAAUUUUAUUCAUCUAGUCUCUUUUUCCUAUCUGCUAAUAGUAUUUUCAUUCACAUGCCUGGUUUUCCUAUGUAUCUGUGUUAGAGAGAUUCUGAAAAGAUAUUAUAAGCUUUUUAGACAAGGGGCAUAUGUAAUUUCCCUAAAUAUUGGCAAAUUAAUUAUUUAAAUGGCAUUCCUGACAAAGCAAUUUUCUUCACUUUGUUUAUUUAUUUAUUU